GAUGAACGCUGGCGGCGUGCUUAACACAUGCCAGUCGAACGAGAAAUGGAGACGGAACCCUUCGGGCGGAAGGCUUCAUUUCGAGUGGCGGACGGGUGAGUAACGCGUGGGUAACCUGCCUCAUACAGGGGGAUAACAGUUGGAAACGACUGUUAAUACCGCAUAAGACCACAGCACCGCAUGGUGCGGGGGUAAAAACUCCGGUGGUAUGAGAUGGACCCGCGUUCGAUUAGCCAGUUGGCGGGGUAACGGCCCACCAAAGCGACGAUCGAUAGCCGAUCUGAGAGGAUGACCGGCCACAUUGGGACUGAGACACGGCCCAAACUCCUACGGGAGGCAGCAGUGGGGAAUAUUGCACAAUGGGGGAAACCCUGAUGCAGCGACGCCGCGUGAGUGAAGAAGUACUUCGGUAUGUAAAGCUCUAUCAGCAGGGAAGAAAAUGACGGUACCUGAGUAAGAAGCCCCGGCUAACUACGUG
rnacentral:rRNA from 1 species